UACGUAGGGGGCAAGCGUUGUCCGGAUUUAUUGGGCGGAAAGAGCUCGUAGGCGGUUUGGUAAGUCAGGCGUGAAAUCUCCACGCUCAACGUGGAGGGGCCACCUGAUACUGCCAUGACUGGAGUCCGGUAGAGGAGUGUGGAAUUCCCGGUGUAGCGGUGAAAUGCGCAGAUAUCGGGAGGAACACCCAUAGCGAAGGCGGCGCUCUGGGCCGGUACUGACGCUGAGGAGCGAAAGCGUGGGGAGCAAACAGG
rnacentral:rRNA from 1 species